CGAACGUGUGAGUAACAUAUCGGAACGUACCGGGUANCGGGGGAUAACUGAUCGAAAGAUCAGCUAAUACCGCAUACGUCUUGAGAGGGAAAGCAGGGGACCUUCGGGCCUUGCGCUAUCCGAGCGGCCGAUAUCUGAUUAGCUGGUUGGCGGGGUAAAGGCCCACCAAGGCGACGAUCAGUAGCGGGUCUGAGAGGAUGAUCCGCCACACUGGGACUGAGACACGGCCCAGACUCCUACGGGAGGGCAGCAGAU
rnacentral:rRNA from 1 species